rnacentral:rRNA from 1 species
UACGUAGGUGGCAAGCGUUAUCCGGAUUUACUGGGUGUAAAGGGCGUGUAGGCGGGAAAGCAAGUCAGAUGUGAAAACCACGGGCUCAACCUGUGGCCUGCAUUUGAAACUGUUUUUCUUGAGUACUGGAGAGGCAGACGGAAUUCCUCGUGUAGCGGUGAAAUGCGUAGAUAUGAGGAGGAACCCCAGUGGCGAAGGCGGUCUGCUGGACAGCAACUGACGCUGAGGCGCGAAAGCGUGGGGAGCAAACAGG